GACGAACGCUGGCGGCGUGCCUAAUACAUGCAAGUCGAACGCAGUGGGGACGGGUGAGUAACACGUGGGUAACCUCCCAUCAGAGGGGAGAACACUUGGAUACAGGUGCUAAACCGAUACUGAUGGAUGUACCCGCGGUGCAUUAGCUAGUUGGUGAGGUAACGGCUCACCUAGGCGACGAUGCAUAGCCGACCUGAGAGGGUGAUCAGCCACACUGGGACUGAGACACGGCCCAGACUCCUACGGGAGGCAGCAGUAGGGAAGAUUGGGCAAUGGACGAAAGUCUGACCGAGCAACGCCGCGUGAAUGAAGAAGGUUUUCGGAUCGUAAAGCUCUGUUGUUAGAGAGGCGUUAUCUGACCAGAAAGCAACGGCUAACUACGUGCCAGCAGCCGCGGUAAUAC
rnacentral:rRNA from 1 species